GGCUUUAGAAGUUAGGAAGGUAAACAAAGCUUAUUCAGAGAGUUGGCCAGCAGUUUUCGGGGAGGAAGAAGAGAUAGGGUAUGGACUUUGGUAUUUCAGACUUCUAAAAUCCCUCCGAAGGACUGUCCAUCACAGCUACAUCGAGCUGUCCUGGCGCCCCGUUGCAGAGGGACAAGCCACACACACUGUGGGCUGUGGUCGGUGAGCAUCUGACAGCCGUGGGGAGAAGUAUCCAGCAAUAAAGGUGUGAAAGCAAGAAGAAUCGCAGGCCUGCCUUAGUGCGGCAGCUGGCAGGGCAGCCGGAGAGGUGCAGCACAUGGCGCUGGGCCACGUCGCGGACUGGAAAUGUCAUUAUCUGCUAUUUACCACGGCAGAGGACAAGGUCUUCUAUAGCCCAGACUGGCCUUGAACUUGCUGUAGAGUUGAAUGAAGAGGAUGACCUCGGUGUGUGCCAAGAGUCAGAGUCUAUGUGGUGCUUUGAUCAAACCCAGCGCUUCAGACUCAAGAACUCUGCCAACUGAGGCACGGUCCCUAGACCCCAGUGAUUCGAACUUGUUUCAUAAAUUUCUCUUCCUUGUUUUGGAAUAUGCUGGUGCUCUCUACCCUAAUCUAGGCCCUGGCUACUGUUUUCCCUUUUGAGACACAAGCUGGUUUUUGUAGCCGGGGCAAGUUUGGAACUCUGAGUCGUCAUCUUUCAGCCUCCAAAGCGGUAGGAUGGUAGGUAUGUGCCACCACACCUGGUCCCUGGUCCCUGCUGCGUGGGAAGUUCAGUUGUCAGUGCAUUCCCGUCAACCCACCACAAUGGCCCCAGAUCUCCUCGCGAUAUCUGUGUGGACGUUGCCUCUCUCACAGACCUCAGGGCUGCUCAGCUCUCUUGGGUGGCUCUAGUGAUGCAGGAACAAACACAGCUGCUUCAGUCAGCCUGGGUUGAAGCUCCUUUUGUCUUCCUCUCCCCUUAGUCUGCCUUUCUCCCUCUGCUCCUCUUCUCAGUCUCCCAAAUACCCAAACUGCCAAGUACCCAAGUACCUGCCAGCCCAGGGCCUCUCCAGAGCCAUGUCUGCUCUAGCCAUGCCCUGUUGGGCACAUUUUCGUCACUCCCAACAUUGCUCCCCUCGAACAGAGGCUGCUGAGCGUCUCCCCAUCGUCUGUCCUGGGGCCUCUCUUUCAGCUCUCUCUCUCGGCGCCCUAUCUCCCAUCUGAGACCUGUGUACGUGUCAGGCUGGCAUCCCUCUCUCUCCCUGGGGAGUCAGAUGGGCACAAUGUCCAGGGCUGCAGAACCGACAAGCAGGCCCGGGGUGGAAGUCAGUCCAUUGAGUUAAGGGCAUCGCUGGCCCAGUGGGCUAUAGCCUGCCUUCUAUCCAGAUAACCCUAAGAAGGAGGUCAGGUCAGUGGUGAACAGGAUGGACUCUCAACCGCGCCGAGUUCCUUUACUUGGGGAAGAAAGGCCGGCUGCAGGCACAAGGCAGCAGGGUACAUGCGCCUUAAUGGAGAUGUUCUGCCUGCCAACCCCAGGCGAGGUGGAUGUUCCAAGAUGCAGCUUGGUGUCUGGUCCAAUCCUCUGAUCCUGACGACAGGAGCCAAGUCAAUUCCUGCCAAACAGCCUUGGCGACAGGCGAGCAGCCGGAGCGGGCCCCUCAGGGCAGAGGAAUUAAGUGACUCUUUCCGGGAAUUUAGGAAACAUCAGUAGCCGAACGAAAAAAAUCCAUCUUUGUAAUAAGGCGCAAACACGCAUCGCCUUCCACAUCAAAUUAGGCCGAGGAGGAGAAAGGAUGCAGCGAGGCCAUUCGGAGGCAGCUAGGAUAAAUAUGCUAUCACUCAAGGUGGCUGGCUGCCGUUUCCAUGUUUUCUCUCCCCUCUCCACCAGGAGCAGAGGAGCUUAAGAUCAGGCUUGGAAAGGGAGGUCAGGGUGGGAGCUCCUUAAUGGACUUUCAGCAAAUCCCAAUUCCCAGCAAAAAAGAAAGAAAAAAAGAAAAGAAGAGAAGAGAAAGGAAAAGAAAAUGGCUACCUCUUGACUCUUGCACAUUGACUUGACGGCAGCAAUGUAAAAUCACUCAGCCCCUGUGCACACGGUAUGGCGGCUCCCACAGUGGGAUGCAGCUAUGCCACUGCUCAGUAUAAUCUCCCUGGGAAUUGGAAGCAGGACCUCAGAGAAAGAAGUCUGCACAACAGCACAUAGAGUCAGUCACGUUGUUCACAGGAACUCAAAUGUGGGAGCACUCAGGGUAUCCAUCAUGGACGAGUGGAUCAGCAGAAGUAUGGUCAUCUUGAAAUGCUGGUCCCCUCAUAAAGGAGAGGAAGUCAGACAGGCACGUGCUGUGGUGUGGAUGACACCUGAGGACGCCAAGCUAAUGAAUCUGGUGAAAUGCAGAUUCUGGCUCAGGAGGUUCAAGAGGGCCUGAGAAUUCUCACUUCCAGCCGGCAUAGGGGGAUGUCUGUGUCUCCGGUCCUCAGGCUGUACUCUGAGUAGCUGGCACUGGAAUCCUUUGUCUCCUCUGGUGUCUCCACCUGCGGGAGGUGGUCUUUGAGGAAUAGCUGGGGAGGACUCCCAAACCCCCACAGGAGCACUUGAGGUCUCUGCUCAGAAUCAGCAGGCUUUCUAGGAAGUGCUCCCACCAGCAGAUCAGAAGAUAGUGAUGGGGAUGUGGGGACUCUGCUUCCUCAGAUUGCCCAGGCAGGGCAGGCAGGGCAGGCAGGGCAGGCAGGAGGGUGACAAGUAGGUGCCAUCUGCUCCUCCGUUACUCAGCAGCCACAAAACCUUCACCCUGACCAGAAUGGAGUCUGCCCAGGGUUCCGGGGGAAUUUGCGCAACCUCUUUAUAGCCUGGAGUUACUGCCAGUCUCUACAGCGAGACGCUGAUCCUUAGAGCAAAAUGGUCUGGAGCCUGUGGCAGGAGGGAUGAGGUGUGGACCACACUCUGCCCUGCAGUGUUCUCCCAUGCUGGGCUGGGGCCAUGAUGCCCCUCAGAACUUUUGCUACGGGACUGGAGAAAACCGCGGGCUAACCUCAGGCCUCUGCUCCCAGGAUUCAGCACACAGGAUCUAGGUUAUGUCAGGCUGGCUAUCCUGGGCCUUUACUGUGAGAUCCAUUUGGCUGAGACCAGGAAAAGCUCCAACUGCUUCCUUAGGCUGGUGACCGUCCUGUCCUGGGGUUCAGAUGGUCAUCCCGUAGCCCGGCACAGCCUCACAUGGCUGGGAAGCGGCUGUCUGACUCAGAUCAGAGGCAAUUAGGAGUACCAGGCCUCUUUAAUUAGCCAGCCAGCCCCUCUCCCUUUUCACCACAGCCAGGGAAAUGAGGCCAGGCAGCCGGUGUGUGAGUGUGUGUGAAGGCCCAAUUACAGAGGGCCACAGCUCCAGGACUGCAGUGCCUUUCCCAGGCACAUUCAUUAGCUUGUGGCUGACAGACACUGUCAGGGAUCUUGCUGGAGAGGCAUCAAUGUCCCCAGGAGCACCUGAGGAUUUGUCCCCAGCCCCUUGGCAACAACUUCCAAUGCCAUGAAUCUUCCCAGCAUCCUUUCUCUUCAGCCUGCCCAAGCACACACACCUUCUUGUCUUAGAAGACUCACUCCUCCACACAGCUCUCCGGGUUAAGUUCUUGGAAGCUAGGUCCCUACAGCAGCGGGUGUUACUCUAAAAGAUUUUGCUCAUCCACCUUGACAGUCAGGACCUGAGGGAAGAAUUCCCCCCCUUUUUAGAUUCCCCUCACCCCUGAGAGAGAGACAGACUGUGCCUGGAUGCUGGCACCUGCACACUCACGGGGUCCCUGCUAGCUUGACACCAAUGUUGAGAACUGCAAAGGCAUUCAGGUCCUUAAUAUAAUUACAUAAAUCUUGGAAAACAAAAGACCAACAAAGCAGCAGCUUCAAUAUGAAGCCCAAGAAGGCACCGAUGCUUCUAGACAUGGUGGUAACCAGCUGGGAUCCCAGCACUCCAAAGGCAGAGGCAGAAGGGCUGAAUCGGAGACCACGAUGGGCUUGAUAAUGAGACUCCAUCUGAGAGAGAGAGAGAGAGAGAGAGAGAGAGAGAGAGAGAGAGAGAGAAAUGGGAUCCUGUGUGAGGCCAUAUCUGAUAGGAUCUGUCUGUAGAGGAAGACACUGGGGCUCCUGCCCGGUGCCAUAUGAGGAGGAACGCACCCAUCUGGCAGGCCAGGAAGACGCUGAAUUGCCUUGGACUUUCCAGCCACCCAAACCACAGGGAAAGCAAGGUCUGUGGUUAAGGCCCCGACUGGCUGAUCUGAGCAUCACUGUGUCUCCUGUGAUUGUCCAUGCUCUGUGGCAAACCUCUGAACAGGGAGCCCCCGGGGCAGCCCAGUCACAAUGACAGUGACAGCCCCCCCCACCUUUGCUAGGGAUGGACCAGGCUAUGAAGGGCUUCUCUGUACCAGCUAACCCAUCCCUCACAUCCAUCUGGUGCUGAUGGCUACUUUUUGACCCUGUCUUACAGAUAAAGAAAUGAAGACUGGAAGAGG